rnacentral:rRNA from 1 species
GCCGGCGGCGUGCCUAAUACAUGCAAGUCGAGCGAACGGACGAGAAGCUUGCUUCUCUGNUGUUAGCGGCGGACGGGUGAGUAACACGUGGAUAACCUACCUAUAAGACUGGGAUAACUUCGGGAAACCGGAGCUAAUACCGGAUAAUAUUUUGAACCGCAUGGUUCAAAAGUGAAAGACGGUCUUGCUGUCACUUAUUAGAUGGNCCGCCUCUGCAUUAGCUAAGUUGGUAAGGUAACGGCUUACCAAGGCAACGAUGCAUAGCCGACCUGAGAGGGUGAUCGGCCACACUGGAACUGAGACACGGUCCAGACUCCUACGGGAGGCAGCAGUAGGGAAUCUUCCGCAAUGGGCGAAAGCCUGACGGAGCAACGCCGCNGUGAGUGAUGAAGGUCUUCGGAUCGUAAAACUCUGUUAUUAGGGAAGAACAUAUGUGUAAGUAACUGUGCACAUCUUGACGGUACCUAAUCAGAAAGCCACGGCUAACUACGUGCCAGCAGCCGCGGUAAUACGUAGGUGGCAAGCGUUAUCCGGAAUUAUUGGGCGUAAAGCGCGCGUAGGCGGUUUUUUAAGUCUGAUGUGAAAGCCCACGGCUCAACCGUGGAGGGUCAUUGGAAACUGGAAAACUUGAGUGCAGAAGAGGAAAGUGGAAUUCCAUGUGUAGCGGUGAAAUGCGCAGAGAUAGGAGGAACACCAGUGGCGAAGGCGACUUUCUGGUCUGUAACUGACGCUGNAUGUGCGAAAGCGGGGG